UGAUUUAGCGGCGGACGGGUGAGUAAUGCCUAGGAAUCUGCCUGGUAGUGGGGGAUAACGUUCCGAAAGGAACGCUAAUACCGCAUACGUCCUACGGGAGAAAGCAGGGGACCUUCGGGCCUUGCGCUAUCAGAUGAGCCUAGGUCGGAUUAGCUAGUUGGUGAGGUAAUGGCUCACCAAGGCGACGAUCCGUAACUGGUCUGAGAGGAUGAUCAGUCACACUGGAACUGAGACACGGUCCAGACUCCUACGGGAGGCAGCAGUGGGGAAUAUUGGACAAUGGGCGAAAGCCUGAUCCAGCCAUGCCGCGUGUGUGAAGAAGGUCUUCGGAUUGUAAAGCACUUUAAGUUGGGAGGAAGGGCAUUAACCUAAUACGUUAGUGUUUUGACGUUACCGACAGAAUAAGCACCGGCUAACUUCGUGCCAGCAGCCGCGGUAAUACGAAGGGUGCAAGCGUUAAUCGGAAUUACUGGGCGUAAAGCGCGCGUAGGUGGUUCGUUA
rnacentral:rRNA from 1 species